UCGAGGGGUAGAGAGUGCUUGCACUCUUGAGACCGGCGCACGGGUGCGUAACGCGUAUGCAAUCUGCCCUCUACAGGGGAAUAGCCCAGGGAAACUUGGAUUAAUGCCCCAUAGUAUUAAGGAACGGCAUUGUUCCUUAAUUAAAGAUUUAUCGGUAGAGGAUGAGCAUGCGUACCAUUAGCUAGUUGGUGUGGUAACGGCACACCAAGGCUACGAUGGUUAGGGGCCCUGAGAGGGGGAUCCCCCACACUGGUACUGAGACACGGACCAGACUCCUACGGGAGGCAGCAGUGAGGAAUAUUGGACAAUGGGCGAGAGCCUGAUCCAGCCAUGCCGCGUGCAGGAAGACGGCCCUAUGGGUUGUAAACUGCUUUUUUACGGGAAGAAACACCUCUACGUGUAGAGGCUUGACGGUACCGUACGAAUAAGGACCGGCUAACUCCGUGCCAGCAGCCGCGGUAAUACGGAGGGUCCGAGCGUUAUCCGGAAUCAUUGGGUUUAAAGGGUCCGUAGGCGGGCGACUAAGUCAGUGGUGAAAUUCUGCAGCUCAACUGUAGAACUGCCAUUGAUACUGGUCGUCUUGAAUCGUUGUGAAGUGGCUAGAAUAUGUAGUGUAGCGGUGAAAUGCUUAGAUAUUACAUAGAAUACCGAUUGCGAAGGCAGGUCACUAACAACGCAUUGACGCUGAUGGACGAAAGCGUGGGGAGCGAACAGGAUUAGAUACCCUGGUAGUCCACGCCGUAAACGAUGGAUACUAGCUGUCCGGCGCACAUUGGUGUGCUGGGUGGCCAAGCGAAAGUGAUAAGUAUCCCACCUGGGGAGUACGUUCGCAAGAAUGAAACUCAAAGGAAUUGACGGGGGCCCGCACAAGCGGUGGAGCAUGUGGUUUAAUUCGAUGAUACGCGAGGAACCUUACCAGGGCUUAAAUGUAGUCUGACAGGAUUGGAAACAGUCUUUUCUUCGGACAGAUUACAAGGUGCUGCAUGGUUGUCGUCAGCUCGUGCCGUGAGGUGUCAGGUUAAGUCCUAUAACGAGCGCAACCCCUGUUGUUAGUUGCCAGCGAGUCAUGUYGGGAACUYUAACAAGACGCCGGUGCAAACCGUGAGGAAGGUGGGGAUGACGUCAAAUCAUCACGGCCCUUACGUCCUGGGCCACMCACGUGCUACAAUGGCAGGUACAAUGGGCAGCCACUGCGCAAGCAGGAGSGAAUCCACAAAACCUGUYUCAGUUCGGAUCGGGGUYUGCAACUCGACCCCGUGAAGCGGAAUCGCUAGUAAUYGGAUAUCAGCCMUGAUCCGGUGAAUACGUUCCCGGGCCUUGUACACACCGCCCGUCMAGCCMUGGAAGCUGGAAGCACCUGAAGUCCGUCACCGCAAGGAG
rnacentral:rRNA from 1 species